UACGUAGGGUGCGAGCGUUGUCCGGAAUUAUUGGGCGUAAAGAGCUCGUAGGUGGUUUGUCGCGUUGUUCGUGAAAACUCACAGCUUAACUGUGGGCGUGCGGGCGAUACGGGCAGACUGGAGUACUGCAGGGGAGACUGGAAUUCCUGGUGUAGCGGUGGAAUGCGCAGAUAGUCAGGAGGAACACCGGUGGCGAAGGCGGGUCUCUGGGCAGUAACUGACGCUGGAGGAGCGAAAGCGUGGGGAGCGAACAGG
rnacentral:rRNA from 1 species